AUUGGAUUUUGGACUUAGCCUUGCAUUCGAGUAUUUCAAGUGAAGUCCAAAUGGGACAACUGAAUAGAAGCUCCUGCCACCUCCAGGCAUUGGCUUGUUGCCCUCGUUAAUGUACCCGCAUGAUUUGCUGAUCUGUGGAUGGUUUUGCCACACCUUUUGUGGCUUUGAUGUGAAUGCAGUUCAAGGAAGACAUAAUUGCUGCCGCUGCUGCCUCCCUGCACGCCCUUCCCUGCACUUCACCGCCCACCGUCCUUGAGCGCAUCCGCAGGCCUUUCUUGGAGCGUGGAGGGAGCCAAGACCCGCAGAGAAAAACCCAUUUUCCCUGGGUAGAAGCACCGCCCUGACAGCUCCAGAAUGGGGGGCAAAGAAUAAAC
rnacentral:lncRNA from 1 species